rnacentral:rRNA from 1 species
GACGAACGCUGGCGGCGUGCUUAACACAUGCAAGUCGAACGGAAAGGCCCUGCUUUUGUGGUGUUCUCGAUUGGCGAACGGGUGAGUAACACGUGAGUAACCUGCCCUUGACUUUGGGAUAACUUCAGGAAACUGGGGCUAAUACCGGAUAGGAUCUCCUGCUGCAUGGUGGGGGUUGGAAAGUUUCGGCGGUUGGGGAUGGACUCGCGGCUUAUCAGCUUGUUUGUGGGGUAGUGGCUUACCAAGGCUUUGACGGGUAGCCGGCCUGAGAGGGUGACCGGGCACAUUGGGACUGAGAUACGGAGCAGACUGCUACGGGAGGCAGCAGUGGGGAAUAUUGCACAAUGGGCGGAAGCGUGAUGCAGAAACGCCGCGUGCGGGAUGACGGCCUUCGGGGUGUAAACCGCUUUAGCCUGUGACGAAGCGUGAGUGACGGUAAUGGGUAAAGAAGCACCGGCUAACUACGUG